ACAGUUCCAAGAUGGUUGUGCGGAUCUCCGUUGAAGACAAACCGACAGAAGAUGGACCUGCAGACAGCGACGCGGAUGAGCGUUGAGUAAGCCCAAGAUUAAGCACUACGGCACAUGCGUGAACCUGAACAAAACUUGACCGUGCUUAGCUUUAACAGUCAAAGAGAAGGACGCUCGCUUGAUGACGAUGUGGCUUGCACAGGGAGACACUGCCGAGAACUGCGCUGAGAGGCUGCUGAAAACUGCGCUGGCUGCAACUCUACUGCAACCGUUUACGCUAAUAUAGCAUCCAGUGCCUUCUC